ACAUGAUGAUAGAGAUCUGUCAAUUUGGGAUUUUUACACCCACUAGUUUUAUAAAACUUAGAUGCGAGGAGGUUUCUUUUAGAACACUCUUCAAUGAGUCCUCUGCGAGCCUUAUGAGUUCAGAUCCUCUACUGUGCAGAAGCUCACUCUUAGCGAUUCAUCUUAUCUCAUGAACGAAAGGAGACUGCUCCGGUGUGCGGGUGAAGGGGACGAGACCUUGUGCCUUCCUAGUAUCGAAGCAGGAGCUCCUUGUUAGAGUAGAGAAAAGUUGGUCGAAUUGGAAAUGAAAUAUUUAGAGCUUUUCAUUAUCUAAAUUUACCAACUAGAAAAUACUUGACUAUUUUACUUAACUUAUUCAUAAGUUGGCGCUGUGUUUACUCAGGAAAAUCCAACUAAAACACAACAACAAGAGAAAGAUUCUACUAUGAUAUGACCUUCUGUAAUAAUGAACUAGUUUUGCUGAUGCAAGCCAUCGAUUCAGUCUAUAACGAUGAUUGGAGGGUGAGAGGUGCUACGUCUUUCAUCAAAGAUCGUUUGAAAGAGAUAAUAUACACUACUGGGGAGUACCAUUUUUAUCCGAUUGAUCUAUAUCAUUUAGAUAAAUAUUAUUUAAAGAAAGAGAAUUUCCUCUAUCAGUUAGUUACUAUGGAAAUGGAAAUGGAAGAAGAUAGAGGGGUCUUAACCACAGAAUGUGUGAACGGUGAUGAUUUACAUGUCUAUAAGUGUAGAUUUGCAUCUGAUGCACUUCUACGCGUUAGCAAAAGUGUUAUUAAACACCGUCUUAGUCUUAGUAGAUGGAUAUGGAUA
rnacentral:misc_RNA from 1 species